GGGCUCAUAGCUCAGCUGGUAGAGCGCCGCAUUCGCAUUGCGGAGGCCGGGGGUUCGAGUCCCCCUGAGUCCACCA
rnacentral:tRNA from 2 species